AGAGUUUGAUCAUGGCUCAGAAUCAACGCUGGCGGCGUGCCUCAGACAUGCAAGUCGAACGCGAAAGUCUCCUUCGGGAGAUGAGUAGAGUGGCGCACGGGUGAGUAACACGUAGGUAAUCUACCUUCGGGUGGGGAAUAACCCAGGGAAACUUGGGCUAACACCGCAUAAUGCAGCGGCACCACAUGGUGACAGUUGUUAAAGCGGGGGAUUUUAGGACCUCGCGCCUGAAGAGGAGCCUGCGGCAGAUUAGCUAGUUGGUAAGGUAAUGGCUUACCAAGGCGACGAUCUGUAGCCGGCCUGAGAGGGCGGUCGGCCACACUGACACUGACAUACGGGUCAGACUCCUACGGGAGGCAGCAGUCGGGAAUUUUGGGCAAUGGGCGAAAGCCUGACCCAGCAACGCCGCGUGAAGGAUGAAAUCCCUCGGGAUGUAAACUUCGCAAGAAUGGGAAGAAUUAGUAGGGGUUAAUACCCUCUAUGAUGACGGUACCAUUUGUAAGCUCCGGCUAACUCCGUGCCAGCCGCCGCGGUAAUAC
rnacentral:rRNA from 1 species